rnacentral:rRNA from 1 species
CCUACGGGUGGCAGCAGUGGGGAAUAUUGCGCAAUGGGCGAAAGCCUGACGCAGCGACGCCGCGUGGGGGAUGAAGGUCUUCGGAUCGUAAACCUCUGUCAGCAGGGAAGAACGGUCACUGUGCUAAUCAGCAGUGAAUUGACGGUACCUGCAAAGGAAGCACCGGCUAACUCCGUGCCAGCAGCCGCGGUAAUACGGAGGGUGCGAGCGUUAAUCGGAAUUACUGGGCGUAAAGCGCGCGUAGGCGGUAUGUCAAGUCAAGGGUGAAAUCCCCGGGCUCAACGUGGGAACUGCCUUUGAAACUGGUAAACUGGAGUGUGUGAGAGGAUAGUGGAACUCCAGGUGUAGGAGUGAAAUGCGUAGAUAUCUGGAGGAACAUCAGUGGCGAAGGCGACUAUCUGGCACAUAACUGACGCUGAGGAGCGAAAGCGUGGGUAGCAAACAGGAUUAGAUACCCGUGUAGUC